AAUAUUUCGCAAUGGAGGGAACUCUGACGCAGCGACGCCGCGUGACCUAUGAAAGUCUNCGGAUCNUNAAGCUCUGUCCUUGGGGNAACAGGUCUUCUGCCUUGACGGUACCUAAGGAGGACGCCCCGGCUAACUACGUCGCAGCAGCCUCGGUAAUAGGUAGGGGGCAAGCGUUGUCGGGAAUUAUUGUGCGUAAAGGGUGCGGAGGCGGCCUUUUAAGUCAGAGGUGAAAGUGCACGGCAAAACCGUGGGACUGCAUUUGAAACUGGAGGGCUUGAGUAUAGGAGAGGGUAGUGGAAUUCCCAGUGUAGCGGUGGAAUGCGUAGAUAUUGGGAGGAACACCAGUGGCGAAGGCGACUACCUGGACGAAAACUGACGCUGAGGCACGAAAGCUAGGGGAGCAAAC
rnacentral:rRNA from 1 species